rnacentral:miRNA from 1 species
GACAGCUUGUCAAAACGCAAUUUCUGAUUCAGUAGGUCUGGGUUGGGCUUCAGAUUCUGCAUUUUUAACAAGCUC